rnacentral:rRNA from 1 species
AUUGAACGCUGGCGGCAGGCCUAACACAUGCAAGUCGAGCGGAUGAAGGGAGCUUGCUCCUGGAUUCAGCGGCGGACGGGUGAGUAAUGCCUAGGAAUCUGCCUGGUAGUGGGGGAUAACGUCCGGAAACGGGCGCUAAUACCGCAUACGUCCUGAGGGAGAAGGUGGGGGAUCUUCGGACCUCACGCUAUCAGAUGAGCCUAGGUCGGAUUAGCUAGUUGGUGGGGUAAAGGCCUACCAAGGCGACGAUCCGUAACUGGUCUGAGAGGAUGAUCAGUCACACUGGAACUGAGACACGGUCCAGACUCCUACGGGAGGCAGCAGUGGGGAAUAUUGGACAAUGGGCGAAAGCCUGAUCCAGCCAUGCCGCGUGUGUGAAGAAGGUCUUCGGAUUGUAAAGCACUUUAAGUUGGGAGGAAGGGCAGUAAGUUAAUACCUUGCUGUUUUGACGUGACCAACAGAAUAAGCACCGGCUAACUUCG